GUGGGGAAUAUUGGGCAAUGGGGGCAACCCUGACCCAGCGACGCCGCGUGAGGGAAGACGGCCUUCGGGUUGUAAACCUCUUUUGUACGGGAAGAAGGAAGUGACGGUACUGUACGAAUAAGUCCCGGCUAACUACGUGCCAGCAGCCGCGGUAAUACGUAGGGGACGAGCGUUGUCCGGAAUUACUGGGCGUAAAGGGCGCGCAGGCUGUGCUGCAAGUCAGCUGUGAAAUGUCUGGGCUUAACCCGGGCAUGCGGUUGAGACUGCAGUGCUGGAGUGCUGUAGAGGCAAGUGGAAUUCCCAGUGUAGCGGUGAAAUGCGUAGAGAUUGGGAAGAACACCGGUGGCGAAGGCGACUUGCUGGGCAGCAACUGACGCUGAGGCGCGAAAGCCAGGGGAACAAACGGGAUUAGAAACCCGAGUAGUCC
rnacentral:rRNA from 1 species